UCCUACGGGGCGCAGCAGUGAGGAAUAUUGGUCAAUGGGCGAGAGCCUGAACCAGCCCCUUCGCUUUCGUUCUGACUGCCCUAUGGGUUGUAAACCUCUUUUGUAUGGGGGGAAUAAGCUUUACGAGUAGAGUGAUGACAGUACCAUACGAAUAAGCAUCGGCUAACUCCGUGCCAGCAGCCGCGGUAAUACGGAGGAUGCGAGCGUUAUCCGGAUUUAUUGGGUUUAAAGGGUGCGUAGGCGGCAUUAUAAGUUAGUGGUAAAAUAUUGGGGCUUCACCUCACUACGCCAUUAAUACUGUAGAG
rnacentral:rRNA from 1 species